rnacentral:rRNA from 1 species
CCUACGGGGGGCAGCAGUGAGGAAUAUUGGUCAAUGGACGCAAGUCUGAACCAGCCAUGCCGCGUGCAGGAAGACGGCUCUAUGAGUUGUAAACUGCUUUUGUACGAGGGUAAACGCAGAUACGCGUCUCUGUCUGAAAGUAUCGGACGAAUAAGCAUCGGCUAACUCCGUGCCAGCAGCCGCGGUAAUACGGAGGAUUCAAGCGUUAUCCGGAUUUAUUGGGUUUAAAGGGUGCGUAGGCGGUCGGUUAAGUUAGGGGUUAAAUCCCGAGGCUCAACUUCGGAAUUGCCUUUGAUACUGUUCGGCUCGAGAGUGGUUGCGGUAGGCGGAAUGUAUGGUGUAGCGGUGAAAUGCUUAGAGAUCAUACAGAACACCGAUUGCGAAGGCAGCAUGCCAGGCUACUUCUGACGUUGAGGCACGAAAGCGUGGGGAGCAAACAGGAUUAGAUACCCUAGUAGUC